rnacentral:tRNA from 1 species
GCCGCGGUGGUGUAGUGGCAGCACGGAAGGCUGUGGACCUUCAGGCGUGGGUUCGAUUCCCGCCUGCGGCC